GCCCUGCUCAACAUGUGUCCCAGCAGAAGGAAGUGAACAGGUCUGGGUAUUAGCGGUGGAACCUUUAAGACAUGCUGCUGAUCAGCUACGGUUUAAAGCUGAAUCAAAUCAAGAGCAACUCCACAGCACUCAGCUGGAGCAAUGAAGUGAGAGUCUUCCAUUCUGAGUGAGAGAGAGACAGCUAGAACACUGACUGCAACAAUCGGUAGCCUUUCUACACAGCAGGGUUCCCAGGUACCAGGAGGAGACCUUCACCCCAGACAAGAUCUCUCCCCAGGAGCUCCAGCCACUCUGCACUGUCGGCUACAGCUCAGUCCACUGAUAAGGAGGAGGAAGGAAUGCUGCUGGGAACACAGGCCCGGGUGAAGGAACAAGACUGAAGGCUGAAAGACCCACUGAAGACAGUCUGCAUCAGAAUCUCAUCCCCUACACGAGCCUACCGACGGUGUGCCUGUACCUGCCGAUGGUCUAUCUGUCACGGUGUGCCUCUACAGGAACAGCAACUGCAUGUAGCCCACUGACUCCCAGACUGCUGGAAUUCUAGAAUCCAUGCAGCAAACGAGCAGCUAGGCUGCGUCCUCUAAGUCACUACCAUCCUAGCUGAGAGGAGUUAACUGAAAUCAAUCUGUUGAAUGUUGUUCCAUAAAACCAUCCAUGCAUACAAGACAAGAGCUUAAAACCACCAUACUAACUAAUCACACAGCAUCUCUGUGUACCACACAAAGCCACUCAAAGGACAGCAGACAGCAAAGGCAGCUAGGACUUUUAUCAUUUAUUUGGUGAUAGGUCUUAUGAAGCCAGACCAGGAUUAUAGGAGUAUGCCACCAGGCCUGGCUCAAUUACUGUUUUUAAAUGAUAACACUUUGAAUUGAAAUUAAAAGAUACUUUCCACAA